GUUACCAGAAAAUUUAAAGUUACGCCAGUCACUCCCAUUCUAUUGCUGAGAGAAAAUACAGAGCGGUGAAGAGCUUACAGUCGGGUGAGCAAGAUACGCCCCCAAUGUUAGCUAAUGAUGUAAGGCAUCAACAAGAAAUGUUGUGGGGGUUCAGGAAAGUGGAAGGUGGGGUCGUCCAAAGGCUGGGAAAGUCUUCAGUUGAAGGCGAGACAGAUGGGACUAUUAGUGAGUUUCGAGAGAACCAACGCCUCGCCGCCUUCGCUUCAUUUUUGUCUCACGCCCGACCCUUGAACGCGCGGCGCCUUUUGACCCCGCCGCCGCGCCGUAGACCGCGCUGCACGCCGGCGGCAGCCAUGGCGGAUGUGUCAGAGAGGACACUGCAGUUGUCCGUGCUAGUAGCCUUCGCUUCUGGAGUACUCCUGGGCUGGCAGGCGAACCGACUGCGGAGGCGCUACUUGGACUGGAGGAAAAGGAGGCUGCAGGACAAGCUGGCGGCGACGCAGAAGAAGCUGGACCUGGCCUGAGACUCUGCGCCUUCCGCCCCAUUCUAUCCCCCUCAUGGCCACCUUGCCAUGUCCGCGCCGGAGCCCCGGUCCGCCGGCGCCCAGAACCAGGCUUGCCACACAGUCCCCGCCUGCCAUGGCCGGCUCUUCCUGGAGUGUUGCUUGUUGAAGAUGCAUAUAGACUACCGGAAAGAAAUGACUUCUUCUUGCACUUUAUGAAUCAAUUUUAUUUUUAAAAUAAAAAAAUUAAACAUC